UACAGAGGUCUCAAGCGUUGUUCGGAUUCAUUGGGCGUAAAGGGUGCGUAGGUGGUGGGGUAAGUCGGAUGUGAAAUCCCGGGGCUCAACCCCGGAACUGCAUUCGAUACUGCCUUGCUCGAGUACUGGAGAGGAGACUGGAAUUCCCGGUGUAGCGGUGAAAUGUGUAGAGAUCGGGAGGAACACCGGUGGCGAAGGCGGGUCUCUGGGCAAUUCCUGACGCUGAGGCGCGAAAGCGUGGGGAGCAAACGGG
rnacentral:rRNA from 1 species